rnacentral:tRNA from 1 species
CCUGGUGGUGCAGUGGUUAAGCAUUCAGCUGGUAACUGAAAGGUCGGUGGUUCAAACCCACCCAGCAGUU